UAUGCCCCUGCAAAGGGCAGGAGUUGUGAAUGAACGAGUGGGAGUAGGGUCUAGCCUUGCUAGAGGUUCACAUCCUGAAUACCGCUGGAUUGUGUGACUAUCCUGGAGCAGAAACAAAUAUUUUCAGGAUCUAUCUCAUCAGAGGUGUGUUUCCAGAAGACUACAACUCAAGGAACUGCACCAACAACAUUUUAGUCAGGCAGGAUGUGUGGCCAUUUUUGGAUCAAGACAUGGAUAAUCUUUAGGAACUCUUCAAAGGACCCAAAAGUCAUUUCUUAAGGACCUCAGGACUGUUUUACCUCCAUCAAGUCCUGCCCUUCUUCCCAAAGAAAAGUCUCCCUUUCCUAUGGAACAAUAGUUCCUUGAUGGGGAAUGGCAACUCUGCUGGUACUGUGUCAGAGCAAUUUUCUGUGGGGCCUUCACCCUCCUUCCUCAGCCUGGUACACUAAUUCCUCAUUCCAUGGAUAAGUGGGAUCUGCUGGCUUUGGUUGCUGUGACCAGUAAAACUAAAGGAUUGGGGUGAUCAGUGAGGACAGAUCGCCAAGCUUUAUCUCAUCAUUUAAGGACAAGACAUUUAAUAAAAUUUGCAACAAACAA